UACAGAGGGGGCAAGCGUUAUUCGGAAUUAUUGGGCGUAAAGGGCGCGUAGGCGGCUUUUCAAGUGACGGGUGAAAUCCCUCGGCUUAACCGAGGAACUGCCUGUCAGACUGGAAGGCUUGAGACCGGGAGAGGUGAGUGGAAUUCCCAGUGUAGCGGUGAAAUGCGUAGAUAUUGGGAGGAACACCAGUGGCGAAGGCGGCUCACUGGACCGGAACUGACGCUGAGGCGCGAAAGCGUGGGGAGCAAACAGGAUUAGAUACCCUGGUAGUCCACGCCGUAAACGAUGAGUGCUUGGUGUAGCGGGUAUCGACCCCUGCUGUGCCGAAGUCAACACAUUAAGCACUCCGCCUGGGGAGUACGGUCGCAAGACUGAA
rnacentral:rRNA from 1 species